CUAGUGUAUUGAGAGUGAUAAUAAUCCUCAGUUGUGUGUAUGUGUGAAUAUGAAUGAGAACGUGUAUGAGAACGUACCUGUUUGUGAAGACUUAGUUGAUAGGCUAUACUCUCUUUGCCCAAUUUACCGUGCCACCCACUACCUCUGACACAGCCCCCGUGAUCUGAUGGGUCCUGCCGACUGCCUGCAGUCUACUCACUACCUUUGGUCACUGUUUAUGCCGCCGGCCGGCUAUAAUCUCAUCCACAUUAAUGCAUGGCAGGUGUCUUAGUCAGCUGUCAUGCUUUUUCAUCAUUACAAGUCAAAGUAAUAGAUAUUAAAUGAUCCAAUGGGUUAGUCCAAUGAACCGACCCGGUCUUAUAGGUUUAAAUAGAAAUAAUAUGGAGACUAGGCCCAGU
rnacentral:lncRNA from 1 species